CAAGUCAGCUGGAUAAUCGCUGGUUCCAGCAGGAACCGGAGGAAAGUCCGGGCUCCGCAGGGCAGGGUGCCAGAUAACGUCUGGGGGGCGCGAGCCCACGGCCAGUGCAACAGAAAGUAUACCGCCAGCCCCGGCUGGUAAGGGUGAAAUGGUGCGGUAAGAGCGCACCGCGCGUCUGGUAACAGAAGCGGCAGGGUAAACCCCACCCGGAGCAAGACCAAAUAGGAAAACGAUGGCGUGGCCCGCGCCGUUUUCGGGUUGGUCGCUUGAGACCGGGAGGUGACUUCCGGUCCAGAUGAAUGAUUAUCCUCGACAGAACCCGGCUUACAGGCUGACUUUCAAU
rnacentral:RNase_P_RNA from 1 species